GUCAGGGGGAAGAAAUCAACACCCUCACGCGGGGUUUUAGUACCGGUUACUGCUACAACAACAGCAGUCUCACCAUAACGAAUUAAUACAGCGCCAUUUGCUUGCUUUGCGAUCUCGCCAGACUCAAUAGUUAAAGGUCUGCCACCGAGAUCCAUUGUGUAACUAUGCAUAUCUUUUACCUCCAUAUGCCUUAUAAAUAUAAAAACACCAUUGUGUACCUGUAUCCUAUUCGACACAAAUUCAAAAACUCCUCUUUUUUUCGAGGAGUUUUUGUGAAAAAUUUUACAUUUUUUCAAUCACAGAAAGAAGCACUACCCUAUUCUAAAAUAG
rnacentral:antisense_RNA from 1 species